AGAAGAAAAUCAAUGCACGCUCAAUUUUAUGUCACAUCUGGUCCAGUCAGAAAAAAACAAGGUCGACAGUAACAUUUAAGACUUUGUCGUUCAUUGAAGGUUAAUAUAAUAGUAAUUUCUUUCUUAUAAUUCUCCCAAUGCUCACAGAGUAGAUUGGAACACAUUUUUGAUUGUUUUAUUAAAAUUUAGCACAUACUUACGCAGGUCAUUGGAUUUGCAUAGUUUGUAUUAAUUCAGUUUUGGCAAAAGUGUUUUUGUGUUUUUGUGUAUAUAUGUAAAUAAUUAAAAAGCGAUAAUCUGUGACGUGUAGCAAAGAAAAUUUGAAGAAUUAAUUUUUCUUUAAUUUCAAAAAUUAAUUUGAUAACUAUAAGCUGUGAAUUUUUCGAAGUCAAGACAUAAAACUUACGUAGGCAUGUAGGUAAUUUUAUCAUGCUUUAUAGCUUUAUCAGAUGUGACCUAAAAUAAAAUGGAACUUGUCCCCGAACCAUCUUUGACACUCACUUAUUUGGAAGAAGAAACCAGUUCUGACGAUUUGAACGAUUUUGUAGAGAAAUUUAAAAAAAUGAGGAUCAAAUUAGGGGUUACUUUCGAUGUGGGGUUGGCUCUUGAACCGCUUUGUGGGACGUCAUUCAGCCAGACGACAAUUUAUCGGUUCGAGGCAAUGGGUGUCCGAAGAAGAUGCGCCCGAAGAAAGUGCCGCCCGAAGAUUGUGCGGCCGAAGAAAAUGCCGGGCGAAGAAGGUGCCGCGUGAGCGAUUAAGGGCCGUAUAAUGUGUCAUAGUUCAAAAUCUUUAUGCACAAUAAUUAUUCAGUUUUUUCGUCUUUUUCCCUUGUGAGGUUUUCUGUUUUUUUCCAAAUUCACCAAAUUCAACCAGCAAAAUUUCUGGAAAAUUGAAUCGGCUUAACAGACAGCUUCGGGGACGCAUGUUUUGCACACACCUGGAGGGGAAAUCAUUCCACGGGGUCAUGCACACUUUUUCAUUUUCACCUUCCUCGGAUAUUUUGCUGCAUGGUUUACGAUUUUUCUGACCACACUCGUCCUCCUUUGGGAAAAAUAAAGUCGAAUACUUGAUCACUAUAAAAAUCAAUCAAAGAGUUCCCGACAAGCCUCUUGGAACUCCAGAAUUAAUCUGGAAUUCAUUGUUUGGAGACGAAGCAUUCCAUCCGUGCAGCACGUGCUGAUGGAGGAAACUACUUUUCGCCGUGGGAUAAUCCGAGGACAGGACGAUAUCAACAUUCAGCUUCCUGAACUGGUUAAUCUGGCUGGAAAUAAAUGGGUGGAUGUUCACUUCCAACUAGACGGUGCCCCGUCGGAAUAUCUGCAUCAAGCAGAAGUUUAUCGGACCGUGCUGUACGAGGAUAAAAGUGGGAUUUUAUUUCAUACCUUAACUGGGAGUCGACAAUUAAAAAAAAUUGUAUUCAGGGUUAAUGAUGACAAUAUCUGAGUGAUGAAUUAGGAUUGAUAAACUUGAAGUAAAAAAUACUCAGAAUAAAAAAUACUCAGGAAUAAUAAAUGGUGUUUUACAUAAUUUAA